GAAAAAAGUCAGCGCGCGCACAGAACGUUUCAUUUAUUUACCGGCAAUGUAGCGGCACCUACAACAGUAGUACAGUACAACCACUGGUCAUAAUAAUUUGGUCGUGUUUCAUAAGCCAACGAGUUCACCGAAAAAAUGUGAAUAUAAUAUUGAAGAAAAACGUAAUACGUAUUACAUACUUCCUGUGAUAAUGGUAAUGGUCCUUCAUAGUUCAUAUUAUAGUGCUGUCACAGGCGCAUAGAUGGUGUAAUUGUUAAUUAGGAUUUCUGAAAUGUUACGAUUGGGUCCCAAAAAUCUAAAUUCCAAAAUCAAGAGAUCGAGUUUAAUCUGAUGUAAGGACUAACUAUAGUACUAACUAUAGAUCCAGUUUUCGAGAGUUUAUCCAUAAACCACCCUCAAUAUUGAAGAUUAAAGCAUUUUUUCUAUUAUGUAUGAAAUGUCGUGGAAAUUUGUACUUAAAACGCUUGUAAAAUAUUAAUGUGAUUUCCCGAAAAACUUUUUAUUUUUGCUUUAGGUAAAAAAACUA